rnacentral:rRNA from 1 species
UGGGGAAUUUUGGACAAUGGGCGCAAGCCUGAUCCAGCCAUGCCGCGUGCGGGAAGAAGGCCUUCGGGUUGUAAACCGCUUUUGUCAGGGAAGAAAUCUUCUGAGUUAAUACCUCGGGAGGAUGACGGUACCUGAAGAAUAAGCACCGGCUAACUACGUGCCAGCAGCCGCGGUAAUACGUAGGGUGCAAGCGUUAAUCGGAAUUACUGGGCGUAAAGCGUGCGCAGGCGGUUUUGUAAGACAGAGGUGAAAUCCCCGGGCUCAACCUGGGAACUGCCUUUGUGACUGCAAGGCUUGAGUGCGACAGAGGGGGAUGGAAUUCCGCGUGUAGCAGUGAAAUGCGUAGAUAUGCGGAGGAACACCGAUGGCGAAGGCAAUCCCCUGGGCCUGCACUGACGCUCAUGCACGAAAGCGUGGGGAGCAAAACAGGAUUAGAUACCCUGGUAGUCCACGCCCUAAACGAUGUCAACUGGUUGUUGGGAAGGUUCCUUCUCAGUAACGUAGCUAACGCGUGAAGUUGACCGCCUGGGGAGUACGGCCGCAAGGUUGAAACUUAAAUGAAUUGACGGGGUCAUAGCUGUUU